rnacentral:rRNA from 1 species
UACGUAGGGUGCAAGCGUUAAUCGGAAUUACUGGGCGUAAAGCGUGCGCAGGCGGUGAUGUAAGACAGAUGUGAAAUCCCCGGGCUCAACCUGGGAACUGCAUUUGUGACUGCAUCGCUGGAGUGCGGCAGAGGGGGAUGGAAUUCCGCGUGUAGCAGUGAAAUGCGUAGAUAUGUGGAGGAAUACCGAUGGCGAAGGCAGCCUCCUGGGCCAACACUGACGCUCAUGCACGAAAGCGUGGGGAUCAAACAGG